AUUCCAGCUCCAAUAGCGUAUAUUAAAAUUGCUGCAGUUAAAAAGCUCGUAGUUGGAUCUUGGGCGCAGGCUGGCGGUCCGCCGCAAGGCGCGCCACUGCCCGCCUGGCCUUCCUCUCGGUCUCCGCCCGGUUCUCUUGACUGAGUGCCGGGCGCGGCCGAAACGUUUACUUUGAAAAAAUUGGAGUGUUCAAAGCAGGCCGUGAGCCUGGACAGCAGAGCAUGGAAUAAUGGAAUAGGACCUCGGUUCUAUUGCGUUGGUUUUCGGAACUCGAGGUAAUGAUUAAGAGGGACUGACGGGGGCAUUCGUAUUGCGGUGUGAGAGGUGAAAUUCUUGGAUCGCCGCAAGACGACCGACUGCGAAAGCAUUUGCCAAGAAUGUUUUCAUUG
rnacentral:rRNA from 1 species